GAGACAAGCAUAUGACUACUGGCAGGAUCAACCAGGUAGCAUUCCUUCACGACGCCGACGCCCGCAUGAGCGCCCCGAGCCGUGAGGCCGAGGGCUCAAAGACGAGCGUGGCGGUCGUUCGUGUCGUUGGACAAAAUGCGUUGCUUGGGCAAAAGGAGGCCGAGAGACCACCCACCCGCGCAUAACAUUCUGCAUCCGAGAGCACGGGCAAAGCACCUUGUGGGCCGAGGCAACCACGCAACUGGGCGAGGCGUGCCAGGAACACGAGGCUUGCCUAACGUCCGCCCCAACACCUGCAAGGGCAUGGGGCGGAGAGGAACAAACGAACCACCGAAUUCCUUCGGGUAGGU
rnacentral:misc_RNA from 1 species